rnacentral:rRNA from 1 species
UACGUAGGGGGCGAGCGUUGCCCGGAUUCACUGGGCGUAAAGGGUGCGUAGGCGGUCGGGUAAGUCUGACGUGAAAUCUUCAAGCUCAACUUGGAAACUGCGUCGGAUACUAUUCGGCUAGAGGAAUGGAGGGGAGACUGGAAUACUUGGUGUAGCAGUGAAAUGCGUAGAUAUCAAGUGGAACACCAGUGGCGAAGGCGAGUCUCUGGACAUUUCCUGACGCUGAGGCACGAAAGCCAGGGGAGCAAACGGG